rnacentral:sRNA from 1 species
CAUAUAAAUGAUCUAUUAUUAAAAUGCACAUUUAAAUCUACAGAGUAUAUCUGCUUAAAGACAUACUACUUGUGUUUAAGAGCCAUGACUAUUUGAAAACAGGAAAACCAAAUUUUAGUAAAAUUUCCAUAUACUGGGACCACUGAUUCUGUGUGAGAUAAUUAGGAAAGAAUUUGGCCCUUGAAAACAUUCACAUCCUAUUCUUUGUUAGCCUUAUUUUUCCAGUCCUUGUUAACUCUGUCAGUGCUGGAUAAUAAACCUGCAUUUCUUUUAAAACAUUUGUUCAGUUUUGGCAUCAGUGUCUUCCCCCAGCACUCCCAUAGUCUAAAUUAGUAACAUUUUAUUGUAUGAAAAAUAGUUGCUGUUAACUAAAAAUUCAAUAAGUGAGUUAGACAUGGCUUUUCAAGUAGGAUUUUCAGUGGCUUCCGAUUCCAUCAGACACAAGUGUAUGUUUUUUCCGUGUAAGUUUUUUCCGUGCUCAACCAUAAGUGCUCAACCAUCUUCUCCCCACUUUAGUCUGCUAUGUCAAAAAAUUGCAUCAAGCUUUUGUGUGAAGAUCCUGUUUUCGCAGAAUAUAUUAAAUGUAUCCUAAUGGAUGAAAGAACUUUUUUAAACAACAACAUUGUCUACACGUUCAUGACACAUUUCCUUCUAAAGGUUCAAAGUCAAGUGUUUUCUGAAGCAAACUGUGCCAAUUUGAUCAGCACUCUUAUUACAAACUUGAUAAGUCAGUAUCAGAACCUACAGUCUGAUUUCUCCAGCCGAGUUGAAAUUUCCAAAGCAAGUGCUUCUUUAAAUGGGGUAAGAACUAUGCAGAGGCGGCGGCACACACUUUUAAACUGUCCUUCAGUUAACUGUGUGGCCUUCAUAUGAUUUUACUCUCGUAACUUUAACUUACUGAUUCGAACUCUAAGCCAUGUAUGACAAAAAACAAAUUUUAAAUACAUGUUCACUAUGCCUUGUAUGUACACAGCACACUCUUUAUCACCUUGGAAGCUACAAGCCGAUAUCAUUAAAUGCUAAGGGUAAUAAAGGGAACAUCUUGGUGGUCUUAUCUCUACUUGGGUAUAUUUUUGGAAACAUUACUUGUGAUGUUUGUGUUACUGCCUAUGGCUCCUAUGUAACUAAAACAAUGAAUGAUCUACUGAUUUUAAAAGGCAGUUAAAUCUAGAGCAUUAGUUGCCUUGUGCAGACUCCUAUGACAGCCAUGUCCUAGAAUAAUGGAACACUCUGGAAAUGGGCUAGAAUGUUGAGCAGCAGCCUCCCAAAUCACAGUAUGCAUAAAAGCCAGAACAGAUGACAGAGCUCAGUAAGGAAGACCUUACUAUUUGUGACAUCUAUCAGAAUUUAACUUGAGAAACUAUGAUUUCAAGGUGUUUUUAAAAUUCUUAUAUUUCCUUUUCCAUUUUCAGAAAACACUAUUUCAGGCUUUGGUCUGACUUACUGGUUCGUGGGCAUAAAAUAAUGCUAUUAGUGACUUUAAGAACUAAUGAGGCCAGGCACGGUGGCUCAUGCCUGCAAUCCCAGCAUUUUGGGAGGCCAAGGCCAGUGGAUAACAAGGUCAGGAGAUUGAGAGCAUCCUGGCCAACAUGGUGAAACCCUGUCUCUACU